CUUCUAAAGAUUAAAAAAACCCCUACGAUUAAAAACCUCAGGUCCCUCAGGCAAUCAUACCAGAUAUUGAAACAAAGCAAUAACAUAAGGACUGCAGUAUUCAUUUUAUUUUUAUAUUAUUUAUUUAUUCUUCCUUAGUUUCUUGAGAUUAUCAUCCGCUGAGGGUGGAAGGGGAGUGAGCAGACACACUCAGGAGGUGUCUUGAGAUUAUCAUCCGCUGAGGGUGGAGCUGAGGGUGGAAGGGGAGUGAGCAGACACUCGGGAGGUGUCUUGAGAUUAUCAUCCGCUGAGGGUAGAGCUGAGGGUGGAAGGGGAGUGAGCAGACACUCGGGAGGUGUCUUGAGAUUAUCAUCCGCUGAGGGUGGAGCUGAGGGUGGAAGGGGAGUGAGCAGACACUCGGGAGGUGUCUUGAGAUUAUCAUCCGCUGAGGGUAGAGCUGAGGGUGGAAGGGGAGUGAGCAGACACUCGGGAGGUGUCUUGAGGCUCAGGGAGUUAUCAAUUAUAGAAUGUUGUUGAGUUGGAGGAGGUGGCUGGUGGCCCAUCCUGUUUUUUAAAGUUUCAGCUGUG
rnacentral:lncRNA from 1 species